GACGAACGCUGGCGGCGUGCUUAACACAUGCAAGUCGAACGGAAAGGCCCUGCUUUUGUGGUGUGCUCGAGUGGCGAACGGGUGAGUAACACGUGAGUAACCUGCCCUUUACUUUGGGAUAACUUCAGGAAACUGGGGCUAAUACCGGAUAGGAGCUCCUGCUGCAUGGUGGGGGUUGGAAAGUUUCGGCGGUUGGGGAUGGACUCGCGGCUUAUCAGCUUGUUGGUGGGGUAGUGGCUUACCAAGGCUUUGACGGGUAGCCGGCCUGAGAGGGUGACCGGCCACAUUGGGACUGAGAUACGGCCGAGACUCCUACGGGAGGCAGCAGUGGGGAAUAUUGCACAAUGGGCGGAAGCCUGAUGCAGCAACGCCGCGUGCGGGAUGACGGCCUUCGGGUUGUAAACCGCUUUCGCCUGUGACGAAGCGUGAGUGACGGUAAUGGGUAAAGAAGCACCGGCUAACUACGUG
rnacentral:rRNA from 1 species